AUACGGAGGAUGCAAGCGUUAUCCGGAUUUAUUGGGUUUAAAGGGUGCGUAGGCGGUUUGUUAAGCGGGAGGUGAAAUGCCGGCGCUCAACGUCGGAAGUGCCUCCCGAACUGGUGGACUUGAAUGACUCUGCCGUGGGAGGAAUGUGUAGUGUAGCGGUGAAAUGCUUAGAGAUUACACAGAACACCGAUUGCGAAGGCAUCUCACGAAGGGUUGAUUGACGCUGAGGCACGAAAGCGUGGGGAUCAAACAGGAUUAGAUACCCUGGUAGUCCACGCAGUAAACGAUGAUGGCUAACCGCUGGGCUUAUCAGUUCAGUGGCCAAGCGAAAGCGAUAAGCCAUCCACCUGGGGAGUACGACCGCAAGGCUGAAACUCAAAUGAAUUGACGGGG
rnacentral:rRNA from 1 species